AUGAAGUUUUAAUUAACAAACAAGUUUCAAGUUUAAUUUAAACAUCCUAAUCUAAUCAAACCCAUGUUAAUCAAAAGGAAUUAAAAAACUGUGGAAGGAAAUGGGCCUUAAGGCCAACGAGGCCCAAUGGGGCGCACAACUCCCUCUCUCUGAAGGACAACGAAGAGUGUGACUCUUCUCCUUCCUUUCAACUUCAGUCAACACGUAAGCGUGACUUCCCAGGCGCUGACAGGUGAUCAUUAACUGGAGGGGGAAUCGAGAAGCCAGUCGACCAUUUGGGCAACGGAAAAGCCAAAAAUCGCUCAUGGCCAUUAAUGCAAUUUAAGGACAAUACUUACAAAUCUGAAGAGAAAAGUUCUGGAUUUGAUAACGCACCCUUUACCUAUCAACUCUAUCUACUACCCCUUGUCUCUCCAUUCUUCUUUUCUUAUCCACAAAACGCAUACCAAACUUUAUAACAUGCAUUCUAUGUCUCUAUUAAACGCAAGCAUAACGAAACAAGCAAGGUGAUUAUCACAACAAAUCGGAGGAAGAUCUCAAAUUUUAAAAACUAAGGUUGUUGAGAUAAUAUGAAGCACACAAAGAGUGAAGAAAUAGAGCAGGAACUGAACCUUAACGCGAAACACGCAUUUUUAGCGAGCGUAAAGAAUAGAUCUGGACCUUGGUGAAUGUUUUCUUCCCUCUGUUUUCAUGUGAAUCCUCCAAGUUUGGAAGUGGGGAAGACGUCCUGCGGGUAACCCUUUCACUUCGUAUUCUUCUUUGUUCCUUCUACCAAUUUGGAGCUUUCGUCUAUCCAGAUCCCAACGAUCCUUCACGCAGUUUUUUAAGCGAUUCACGGUAACAUUGAUUCUACCUUGCGAUUUUCUUUUUCUUUUAGCCUGGAUCUUAUUCUGAUUUCGGUGUUUGAUGGUGGCUCAGGUCGUGGGUGCUCACCGAGGGGUUCAGUCCGACUACCUCAGAGUUUCGGAGAGAAACUCUGAAUAGUUUUUGUGACUUGGACUUUGAGGAAUUCAGGUAAGGCUUUUCGGCAGAGUAACAGUAGGAUCCCCCUCUCUAGAUGACUCUCAACCUUUAUUUAUAGAGUCUUCUCCUCGGAUCCUCAAAUCAUGAGCUGUCAAUAUCUAUCCAAAAUCCUUCCGUUAGGAGAGAAUUUUCUCAGAGAUUUGGUGGGGACCAGGGCGAUUGUCACAGGUAAAUUUCUCUUUGUCUGUAGUGUAGCCUUCCAGUCUUCUAGAAACUGUGGUCCCUCAUUUGGUGCAGGUGGCAAGGUGAGAUUGUUUUGUUGGUAAGAUCCCCCAAAGAAUGCGUGACCGUUUUGUGUUGAAUCUUUUAUUAAGCUCUUACUGCUGUAACUCUUAUUUUUGUUGCGGUAAGAAACUUAUUUUCACUGUCAUGUACAUUCAAACUUUUAAAUGACGUUCAAUUCAAAAAGACUCUAUUAUGCUGUCAUGUGUUUUUCAGCUCACAUUUUCAACCUGUGCUUGCCGUAGGUAUACAGGGCAACAGGAUAUCCGCUCAAUUUCGAUUUGGUUUGGAAAAGUUAUGUUGUGAAUCCGGGGUCUACAUUGCUCUGAUGUCUUGGAUUUGGAGGUGAAACAGAAAGACAUGCAUGCUUUGGCUUGCGUUUUGGACUUUUGGAGAUGAGAGUGUGAGCAUUAUUUUUUUAAUGCAGAGUGGCCUUUGUUGACUGAUAUAUCAGGGCGGUUUUGGUGCUGUUAUGCUGACAUAAGUUGGCGGGUAACUUCAAGUUCCACGAUUUCACUUCUGUUUUGAAAGUAGGAGCAGCGACUGGUUUUGAAAGUGCAUCAUCUACCUUCUCCGCAGGAGGUUUCGGCAUUGAUAACAAGCUUGGACUGAUAGCAUGUUUGGAUCGUGCAUAAGUUCCCUAAUUGUGUGUGUUCCUGAGUCCGUUUGAAUCAAUUGAAGAAAUCAUGAACGCAUUUAUUUGUAUGGCAUGCUGUUGGCUUUUGGACUCUGUAGAUUGCAUCAUGCUGUUAGAAGGUACCCUGCAGGCUUUAGAACGAACUUGUAACAGUCUGUAGAAAUAAGUGCAGGGAAAAGUCGGGCAAGCAUCAUGGCAAAGGGAAAUGUACUUUCCAAUUUGAAGCUUAUUCCUGUCGUUUUGACUUGAUUGUAAUGUAAUCUUAGAUCAUAAGGUUGGGACUUGCGUGAACCAUGAAUUUUAACCAUACAAAUUGUAAAUUUAUGCCUGUAUCAAUAAAACUUAGGAACGUCAUGUCCACCAAA